rnacentral:piRNA from 1 species
UGUUGCUGGAAGUAAAGGUGUGCACCUC